rnacentral:rRNA from 1 species
AUGAACGCUGGCGGCGUGCCUAAUACAUGCAAGUCGAGCGAACGGACGAGAAGCUUGCUUCUCUGAUGUUAGCGGCGGACGGGUGAGUAACACGUGGAUAACCUACCUAUAAGACAGGGAUAACUUCGGGAAACCGGAGCUAAUACCGGAUAAUAUUUUGAACCGCAUGGUUCAAAAGUGAAAGACGGUCUUGCUGUCACUUAUAGAUGGAUCCGCGCUGCAUUAGCUAGUUGGUAAGGUAACGGCUUACCAAGGCAACGAUGCAUAGCCGACCUGAGAGGGUGAUCGGCCACACUGGAACUGAGACACGGUCCAGACUCCUACGGGAGGCAGCAGUAGGGAAUCUUCCGCAAUGGGCGAAAGCCUGACGGAGCAACGCCGCGUGAGUGAUGAAGGUCUUCGGAUCGUAAAACUCUGUUAUUAGGGAAGAACAUAUGUGUAAGUAACUGUGCACAUCUUGACGGUACCUAAUCAGAAAGCCACGGCUAACUACGUG